UACAGAGGGUGCGAGCGUUGUCCGGAAUCACUGGGCGUAAAGGGCGCGUAGGCGGCCUGGUAAGUGUGUGGUGAAAGUCCGGGGCUCAACCCCGGGUCGGCCGUGCAAACUGCCGGGCUGGAGCACAGUAGAGGCAGGUGGAACUCCGGGUGUAGCGGUGGAAUGCGUAGAGAUCCGGAAGAACACCGAUGGCGAAGGCAGCCUGCUGGGCUGUAGCUGACGCUGAGGCGCGAGAGCGUGGGGAGCAAACAGG
rnacentral:rRNA from 1 species